AGAAAGUUCUCAAAUCUGCCCAAGAUGACAUUCAAGGAUGGGAAAGGGAAUUCAAGUGAUGUGGGCUGAGCGUAGUGACUGAAAAACGAUAAAGGCCAUUUCAUUUUUACAGCCUCAAAAAACUGCUUUCACAUUGAAUGUGGAAUUAUGAAGUUAGAUCGAAGUUAUGGAGAUGAUCUUGUAAGGAAAGCAGAAAGAACGCUAACAGUUAUUGCACAGACGUUAAUAGGAGACUUCACUAGUGAGUGGUGAGAGUGCGAGCCAUCACGGUGGGUCUGUCCCCCUUGCUGAUCAUUCAGGUUGGGUAAGUGUCACAGUCCUGGCAAGUUAGACCUGAGUGAAGUUCUGCAGGGGACCCUCUGGUAAAGGUCUUUUGCUCUUAAAAAUUCAAACAAGAGAGUGAGCUCCUCCACCCUCAUAUUCCAACACCAUCAGGUAGGAAAGGAAUCCCUGCAGCUGCAAUUACAUCUGGAGACAAUUACAUCUUGAGACAAUUAGAUGGUCUAAUAAGAAUACUGGAUUUGGAGUCCAAAAGCUGGCUUCAAAUUCCAGCGCCGCCCCUUG
rnacentral:lncRNA from 1 species